rnacentral:misc_RNA from 1 species
GAUGAAGAACGUAGCGAAAUGCGAUAAGUAAUGUGAAUUGCAGAAUUCAGUGAAUCAUCGAGUCUUUGAACGCACAUUGCGCCCCCUGGUAUUCCGGGGGGCAUGCCUGUCCGAGCGUCAUUGCCGCCCUCAAGCACGGCUUGUGUGUUGGGCCCCCGCCCCCCGGCUUCGGGGGGCGGGCCCGAAAGGCAGCGACGGCACCGCGUCCGGUCCUCGAGCGUAUGGGGCUUCGUCACCCGCUCUGUAGGCCCGGCCGGCGCCCGCCGGCGACCCCAAUCAAUCUUUCCAGGUUGACCUCGGAUCAGGUAGGGAUACCCGCUGAACUUAAGCAUAUCAAUAAGCGGAGGA